CACGUUUAGUGCGUCAAAAACAGUAGAACAAACCCUCUUAAAACGACUGGUUCCACAUCCGUAGAACACAAAAAUGUCUCUUACCUUUUUCAAUAUUUACACCAUUUAAAACAAACCCUAAUCCAUUAUUUGCCGCUGCCUUUCUUUUCGCGUAGCCUUCCUCCUCAUCCUCAUCCUCUCCUGUAGCCGCCGACUGCACCCAGCCAGCAAGCAGCAGUCGCGCUGCAGAUUGACCUAGGGAGCAGGAUGAUUACGAGUUGGUGAAUUGCAUUGCUUUUACCUUCUUAUGUGAAAAAGAUUGACAUUUUGUUGUUCUUAUCAGUUGGGUAAUUCUAUUUGUUUCAUUCUUGUUAUCAUGUAUGCCAGACUAAUAUUUCAUGUAAUCGCGGAUUCUGUACUUGUAUACGGCCGGUGUUUUCAUAGUUGUUGUAAUUGUCUUUUAGUGUUUGAUGACAGUUUGCUGAGAUGAUUGUUGUAAUUGUUUUUUAUUGUUUGAAGACUACUAAGAUGUAGACAUGUAUGGAAGCCUACUUCCGGAAAAUAGAGACUCAUAAUUUUUACACUUAUA